UCUACGGGAGGCUGCAGUGAGGAAUAUUGGUCAAUGGCCGGAAGGCUGAACCAGCCAUGCCGCGUGAAGGUCAGUGCCCUAUGGGCGUUAAACUUCUUUUGUGCGGGAGCAAUAAUGGUCACGUGUGGCCAGACGAGAGUACCGUACGAAUAAGCAUCGGCUAACUCCGUGCAAGCAGCCGCGGUAAUACGGGGGAUGCAAGCUGUAUCCGGAUUAAUUGGGUUUAAAGGGGGUGUAGGCUGUGAGUUAAGUCAGCGGUGAAAUGCCCCCGCUCAACGGGGUGAAGUGCCAUUGAUACUGCCUUGCUGGAAUGCGGAUGCCGUGGGAGGAAUGUGUGGUGUAGCGGUGAAAUGCAUAGAUAUCACACAGAACACCGAUUGCGAAGGCAUCUCACGAAUCCGCGAUUGACGCUGAUGCACGAAAGCGUGGGUAUCAAACAGGAUUAGAUACCCUGGUAGUC
rnacentral:rRNA from 1 species